rnacentral:rRNA from 1 species
AACGAACGCUGGCGGCGUGGCUAAAACAUGCAAGUCGCACGCGAAAUCCCGGCUUGCCGGGAGAGUAGAGUGGCGAAAGGGUGAGGAAUACAUGGGUAACGUACCCUGAGCACGGGGACAGUCCGCCGAAAGGCGGAGUAAUACCCGAUGAGACCACAGUUCCACAUGGCACAGUGGUCAAAGGGCGGGGAUCCCUUCGGGGACCUGUCGGCUUGGGAGCGGCCCAUGUCCUAUCAGCUUGUUGGUGAGGUAACGGCUCACCAAGGCGACGACGGGUAGCGGGGCUGAGAGGUUGGCCCGCCACAUUGGGACUGAGACACUGCCCAGACUCCUACGGGAGGCUGCAGUAACGAAUAUUGGGCAAUGGGCGCAAGCCUGACCCAGCGACGCCGCGUGUGGGAAGAAGUCCUUCGGGAUGUAAACCACUGUCAGGGACCACCAAGCAAAGGGGGUUAAUAGCCCCCCGCGUGAGGCGU